AUGUCUAUCAACCUUCUCUUCUGCAGGCUAAACAGACCAAGACGUUCCUCAAGAGGGAUUAUUCAUGGUCUCCAGACCUUUGAUCAUUCUAGUCAUCCUCUUUUGGAUACCUUCCAGCUUAGAGUUACUAUCUCUUUUGAACUGCGGGGCCCAGAAUUUGAGACAGUACUCCAGAUGAGGCCUAACCAAAGUGGAGUAGAGAGGCACUAUGAUUUCCCUCGAUUUGGACACUGGACUCCUUUGGAUGCAGCCCAAAAUCCCAUUGGCUUUUUGAGCUGUUGCAUCAUACUCUUGGCUCAUGUUCAGCUUGUUCCCCAUGAAGACUCCAAGAUCUUUCUCACAUGGACUGUUGUUGAGCCAGGCGUCACCCAUCCCAUUUAUAACACCCAAAUAGUCACUUCUUUCCAGGAUGAAGAGGAGAAACCAUUGGGGAGAAGCACCCUUUGGAUUCAGUCACCUAACCAAUUACAGAUCCACCUAACAGUCAUAUUGUCUAGUCCACAUUUGACUAGUUUGUUUGCAAGAAGGUCAUGGGGGACUCUGUCAAAGGCCUUACUGGAAUCAAGAUAUGCUCCAUCCACAGCAUUCUCUGCAUCUCCCAAGCUUGCAACUCGAUUGACAGUAAGAGCGGUUCUGCAGUGGAAUAUGCUUCCUUGGAUAUCUCCUCCUCCAGAGAUUUUUGAACAGAAGCUAUAUGGACGUCUGUUGGAUUAUUUGUGCCUUUCUGAACGGGAUAAUGGGGUUGGGUGGACCUCUUUGUGGUCCCUUCCAAGCCUAGGAUUCCACAAAAAGGGGAAGACCACACUCCAGGAUCGACAAAGCCAAGGAUGUUCUGAACCUGCCGAAGCCAUCACUGGGUCUCACCCAAUCCAACAUAAGUUUGUGACACAAAAAACAAAGUUUCUGGAGCAGAACAACUACUUUCAAAGUAAGGACCACACAAUGAAACAGGAAAUAACACUUUUAAGCCAGGAACAGAAUAUUUAUUUUCAAGUCUGGUUAUUGAGAGAAGUUGUUGGACAAAAAGCUGGACCAAGACCUUGGACUCCUGGCUUCCCUUUGGAUGCAUCAGCAAUGCUCUCCAGGCCCUUCAUUACGAUAAUGGCAUUUCUAUGA
rnacentral:lncRNA from 1 species